CAUUACAGAGUUCCUGCCCUCACGGGUAGAAACCCCACCCUUGUGUAUAUCAUAUUGUUGCUUUAGCAGGUCGCCCUCUGGGGCGUCGGCCUCGGCUGACUGUGCCUGCUAGAGGACCCUAAACUUUGAAAUACAGUGUCGUCUGAGUACUAUUUAAUAGUUAAAACUUUCAACAACGGAUCUCUUGGUUCUGGCAUCGAUGAAGAACGCAGCGAAAUGCGAUAAGUAAUGUGAAUUGCAGAAUUCAGUGAAUCAUCGAAUCUUUGAACGCACAUUGCGCCCCUUGGUAUUCCGGGGGGCAUGCCUGUUCGAGCGUCAUUUAGACCAACUCCCGCUCCGGCGGGGUCUUGGGCUGCGCCUUUGGGCGGGCCUUAAAACCAGUGGCGGUGCCCUAAGGCUCUACGCGUAGUAAUUCUUCUCGCGAUAGGGUCCUUGCGGUGUCUUGCCAGCAACCCCCAACUCUCUAGGGUUGACCUCGGAU
rnacentral:rRNA from 1 species